rnacentral:rRNA from 1 species
GAUGAACGCUAGCGGCAGGCCUAAUACAUGCAAGUCGAACGGUAACAUGAGUAGCAAUACUUGAUGACGAGUGGCGCACGGGUGCGUAACGCGUAUGCAAUCUACCUUUAACUGGUGAAUAGCCCGAAGAAAUUCGGAUUAAUACACCAUAGUAUAUUAGAGUAGCAUUACUUUAAUAUUAAAACUACGGUGGUUAAAGAUGAGCAUGCGUGACAUUAGCUAGUUGGUGAGGUAACGGCUCACCAAGGCUACGAUGUCUAGGGGAUCUGAGAGGAUUAACCCCCACACUGGUACUGAGACAGGGACCAGACUCCUACGGGAGGCAGCAGUAAGGAAUAUUGGACAAUGGUCGCAAGACUGAUCCAGCCAUGCCGCGUGAGGGAUGACGGCCCUAUGGGUUGUAAACUUCUUUUGUACGGGAAAAAACCCCUCUACGUGUAGAGGGCUGAUUGUACUGUAAGAAUAAGGAUCGGCUAACUCCGUGCCAGCAGCCGCGGUAAU